rnacentral:rRNA from 1 species
GACGAACGCUGGCGGCGUGCUUAACACAUGCAAGUCGAACGGAAAGGCCCCUUUGGGGGUACUCGAGUGGCGAACGGGUGAGUAACACGUGAGUAACCUGCCCUUGACUUCGGGAUAACUUCAGGAAACUGGGGCUAAUACCGGAUAGGAAUCCUUGCUGCAUGGUGGGGGUUGGAAGGCUUCGGCGGUUUUGGAUGGACUCGCGGCGUAUCAGCUUGUUGGUGGGGUAGUGGCUUACCAAGGCUUUGACGGGUAGCCGGCCUGAGAGGGCGAACGGCCACAUUGGGACUGAGAGACGGCCCAGACUCCUACGGGAGGCAGCAGUGGGGAAUAUUGCACCAUGGGCGGAAGCCUGAUGCAGCAACGCCGCGUGUGGGAUGACGGCCUUCGGGUUGUAAACCGCUUUCAGCAGGGGCGAAGCUUGUGGUGACGGUACCUGCAGAAGAAGCACCGGCUAACUACGUG